rnacentral:tRNA from 1 species
GCCCUCGUAGUUCAGCGGAUAGAACACCAGCCUUCUAAGCUGGUUACGUAGGUUCGAUUCCUGCCGAGGGCACCA